rnacentral:rRNA from 1 species
GAUCAUGGCUCAGGAUGAACGCUAGCUACAGGCUUAACACAUGCAAGUCGAGGGGCAGCAUGGUCUUAGCUUGCUAAGGCCGAUGGCGACCGGCGCACGGAUGAGUAACACGUAUCCAACCUGCCGUCUACUCUUGGACAGCCUUCUGAAAGGAAGAUUAAUACAAGAUGGCAUCAUGAGUUCACAUGUUCACAUGAUUAAAGGUAUUCCGGUAGACGGUGGGGA